GACGAACGCUGGCGGCGUGCUUAACACAUGCAAGUCGAACGGAAAGGCCCUGCUUGCAGGGUACUCGAGUGGCGAACGGGUGAGUAACACGUGGGUGAUCUGCCCUGCACUUCGGGAUAAGCCUGGGAAACUGGGUCUAAUACCGGAUAGGAGCCAUUUUUAGUGUGAUGGUUGGAAAGUUUUUUCGGUGUAGGAUGAGCUCGCGGCCUAUCAGCUUGUUGGUGGGGUAAUGGCCUACCAAGGCGGCGACGGGUAGCCGGCCUGAGAGGGUGGACGGCCACAGUGGGACUGAGAUACGGCCCAGACUCCUACGGGAGGCAGCAGUGGGGAAUAGUGCACAAUGGGCGCAAGCCUGAUGCAGCGACGCCGCGUGGGGGAUGACGGCCUUCGGGUUGGAAACUCCUUUCGCUAGGGACGAAGCUUUUUGUGACGGUACCUAGAUAAGAAGCACCGGCUAACUACGUG
rnacentral:rRNA from 1 species